CCGACGAUUGAGACAAAAGACAACGAUAUAAAGGAUCAACACUGGUCCUGUACAGCUGGGUACUCCAUCCCCUCACAGACAUCCUGGCACAUGGACAGAAGCCAUGCAUCCUUCAGAGUGCCGCCCCUCUGCCGUAGGAAGUUCAGCAGGCAGCCGUUCUCCAUGAACUCGGCCACGAUCAGCAGGGGGCGCUGCUGCAAGCAAACACCAUACAGCUGCACCAGUUUAGGAUGGCACAGCCUCCUGUCCUCCUCGUACAUGGCUCCCUCUCGGAUGGCCUUGAUGGCCACUUUCUGCUGAGCCCUCCACUUGCCGAGCCUCACCAGACCAAACUGACCACUGCCCAGCUCCUUCAUGAAGGUCAACUCGUUGGGAUCGAUCUCCCACUUCUCUGGAGUGAUGGAAAAAGAGAGAGGGAAAAGAGAGGAAGAAGAGAGGCAGAAAGUGCUCCCUUGUCUACAGUAGAACCAACUCCUUCUCCAUAUAUCCAUUGAAGAGGACACCAGUAUGUGAUGUGGUGACCCAGGCUGCCGUAAAUUCAGUCAAGUUCUUAUAGACUGGAUAGACAGAGACGGUGUAGACUCCCUUCUGACUGGACUCCCGCACCACAAAACCACCUUCUUUUCCCUGGAAAACAACCAGAUGUCACUUGAACAUUAAAAAAAGGGAGGAGCUCCACCAGUGGCAGUGACACUUCAACAAUCCAACUACUGUUAAUCAUUGAAUCAUCCGUCCAUCAUAUUCUUAUGUUUAUUAUUAUCAGCUUAGUGUAUAGAAUUUUCCUUCUUUAAAAGGCUGUCACAAUGUUACACACACAACCAUUUGUGCUAAAGUAAGCCAAAGAUGACGGCAUGUGACUCCAACAAUGAGUUAAUCUCUGUCUCUCAUCUUUGUCUGACUCACUGACACAGCUGUCUUGAUAAGAAUGAACACUGUCAAUCUCCUAGUCAACCCACAGUCGAGAUCAUCUUUAUUUUGUCACAGACAGACUGCCUGGUUUUCUUCAGAAAGAGGUCUUGCAUGUGGCUUGAAUCAAACACAACGUGACUUAGGUGUCUUGUUUUCAACCAAUGUCCAAUAGACUCUUCACACAUGGAUAGAGGGGUGAAUUAUAACCUUAUUGGGACAUAGAGAGCGUCUAUCAGGGAUAAAUAUGCACUGCCUACUUCACCAAUAAGGGUUGACCAAGUCCGUCUAACCAAGGUGAUAUCUUUAUUUAUCUAUUUAUAUUUUCUUAGAUAUUCAGUUUAACAUCUAUAUAUACCAUUUUAGCUAAGGUUGCACUGUAGAUCUACUACAACAUGAUUCAGCUCUAACCACAGCAAAUAUAUAGAGGUGUGUGUACCAAAGUUUCUUUCAGAAAGCCACGCCCCUGCAUGCAGGUAUUAACAGACAGAUAGCGAACCAGGUACACCGACAGGUUGAUAGAUACCUCCUGUCUCAGCAGCUGCUCAGCUUCUGUCCUGGUGAUGUUCUUGCAGUACCACCUCCACAGAAGAAACACAAUUAAUAGUUUAAUUGUUGUCUUUUGAUGAUUAAAAGUAAUUAAUGAGUUUCAUAAAAAAGAAUAAACAAUCAAAGCUUUGCUUUACAGUGAGAAAAACAGCUAAACAACCCAUCUGAU